rnacentral:misc_RNA from 1 species
GAUGAAGAACGCAGUGAAAUGCGAUAAGUAAUGUGAAUUGCAGAAUUCCGUGAAUCAUCGAAUCUUUGAACGCACAUUGCGCCCCCUGGUAUUCCGGGGGGCAUGCCUGUCCGAGCGUCAUUGCAACCUUCAAGCGCGGCUUGUGUGUUGGGUCUCGUCCCCCGUGGACGGGCCCGAAAGGCAGUGGCGGCGUCCCGACAUGGUGCCCGAGCGUAUGGGAAUCCUCUUCCGCUCGAAUCGGCCCAUGCGGCGCUGGUCGUAACCAAAUUUUUUACCGGUUGACCUCGGAUCAGGUAGGGAUACCCGCUGAACUUAAGCAUAUAAUAAGCGGAGGA